AAAAAAUAGAAUCCUUUACCCUUUGCCUCCCAUAUCCAUUGCCCCCACUCCUUGCAGAAGAAUCAGAUUACAAAAAAUUGAAUUGCUGCCAUUCACGCCUCUACCCAUUAAUCUAUUCUUCACUCUGGAUUCUUCUCUCUUUUUUAUUCUAUACUAUAGUAUAUGGUCUGGUGGUUCAUAUCUGUUGGGUUAAGGAGCUUCUGCAAUCAAGGGAGGAAGAUGUCAUAUCAGAUAUGAUAUUGACAGAUUACUCUGAUUGGAAAUGGAUGAGAAGAUAGGAAGAAAGGUUUUGGAUGUUUUAAAGAUUGUUGAGGAAGCGUUUUCUAUACAGGAGUAUUGAGGGAGCUCAUUAAGCUUAUUAAGGUUCUUAUCUUCUCUUUCUCAAUUUCCUUUUACCAAUGACCAAAUUUUAUUUUUUAUGAAUAGAUCUACAAGGAACCAUGAAGCUAUUGCAAUGUCUUUCCUUGUAGCAAAUGCAAUUGGUGCUCAUAUCAAUGACCAUUGACUUUCUGUUGCCAUUCAUAUUAGCAUCAUUUGCUGCAAAUUUUCACUUUCACGGUUUUUGAAUACUUUGUUUCUUGAAGUUAAUGUCAGCAAUCUUCGACCAAAUCUAUAAGGACCAACUAGAAGAGAAUAGGGAUCUAUUAGCUACCGAAGUAUAGAGGCAUUUUGUUCUUGAGACUAGCUUCAAAUUUAAAUUGUGCAAUUGGGACUUUGUCUUGUCAAAUUUCUG
rnacentral:lncRNA from 1 species